UUGGGGUUGAAACUCUUCAUCGAGGCUU
rnacentral:sRNA from 1 species